rnacentral:rRNA from 1 species
AGAGUUUGAUCCUGGCUCAGGACGAACGCUGGCGGCGUGCUUAACACAUGCAAGUCGAACGAUGAACACCGGAGCUUGCUCUGGUGGGAUUAGUGGCGAACGGGUGAGUAACACGUGAGCAAUCUGCCCCCGACUCUGGGAUAAGCGUUGGAAACGACGUCUAAUACCGGAUACGACACCUCCUGGCAUCAGGUGGGUGUGGAAAGAAUUUCGGUUGGGGAUGAGCUCGCGGCCUAUCAGCUUGUUGGUGAGGUAAUGGCUCACCAAGGCGACGACGGGUAGCCGGCCUGAGAGGGUGACCGGCCACACUGGGACUGAGACACGGCCCAGACUCCUACGGGAGGCAGCAGUGGGGAAUAUUGCACAAUGGGCGCAAGCCUGAUGCAGCAACGCCGCGUGGGGGACGAAGGCCUUCGGGUUGUAAACCCCUUUUAGCAGGGAAGAAGCGCAAGUGACGGUACCUGCAGAAAAAGCACCGGCUAACUACGUGCCAGCAGCCGCGGUAAUACGUAGGGUGCAAGCGUUGUCCGGAAUUAUUGGGCGUAAAGAGCUCGUAGGCGGUGUGUCACGUCUGCUGUGAAAAUCCAAGGCUCAACCUUGGACCUGCAGUGAGUACGGGCACACUA